ACCCACCCAUAGAUGAUAGUUUUACCCUGAUAUCAAUUUCACUCCAAACCCUAAUUAGCCUCUCCCUCAUCACGCCCACAACCGUCUCCCUCCCCACCACCACUGAUUCGCAUCUCCAUCUCUCCCAAACCCUAAUCAAUCAUAUCCACUUCCCUCAAACAUAUAGAGAGAAGAGGCAGAGAUAGAGUUAGAGAAACAUAUACAGAGAAGAGGCGGGAUUAACAGGGGCUGCCGGGACCUUCUGUUCGUGGCGUUCUCCUAGGCGGCGAUGGUGCUGUUCUGUGCCUCAAACUGUCGUAUGCCUACAAUCACCCUACAUAUUGGGUCUUGAUCUGUGGUAUGUUAUGGCUCUGGUUAACCCGCAUCCCUUUUAGACGAAUGAUUCCACAUACCCCUCUCUUCUGGUUUGAGGUCGUUGGUUUGUUUCCUUUGAUUCGAUGAUGAUGGGCGUUUGCACAUCUGAGAGAUGAUGGUGAAAUUAAGCUUAUCUCAGAUCUUAUUCGAUUUGCACUAACUAUUUUUGGAUUUUGGAAGCACAUCUGAAAGGCACUUGAAUUUGUGCAGAGAGUGUUAUAAAAAGGUUGUUAAACUUGCUUAUCAACUGAGAAAUGCCUCUCAAAAACAAUCUCUUCUUUCUGGAAUUAUACUUUGCUGGGCUUCCGUUAUUCAAGGAACUAGCUUUAGUGAAAGAACGAAGGUGCAAUUUCUCUAUGAUCAUAAGAAAUCCUACACACCAGACACCACUUUAUUUUUUUAGUGGCAUGGAUCUAGCAUCAAGGUUUAGGUAGCAGUUGGGUUUCUCCUGGUCAUUCUAUUGCAGCCGCAAUGUCUUAUCAAUUAUGAGCCUCAAGUGUCCAUGUUUAUUUUUGUCCUGUUUUCUUCAACACGUUUCUUUAACUGCUAAGAUCGCUAUUGUCUAUUUUUUUGUAUUUUUUGUUUGUGUUGGUGCAGGUUGAACUUUUAUUCUUCUUCGUUAAAGAGCCUAGGGUUGGAUCAAGAUUCCAGUUUCAGGUUGUAUUGAUUUAGUCAUGAAGACAGAUAGUAAUAACAAUGAAAUAACAAUCCAUAAAACAUCAUCACCAUUUUUAGGCUCGCAUAAUUGCUAGAUUUAUUUAAAGGAGACUUUGAGUUGGAAAUCAUUCUUUACCUUAGAUUAACUUAGAUGUAUGCAUUAAGCUAUAUAUAUUGGUUUGCACAUUCUGUUUAAUUUUAUUAUGCAUUAAGCUA